AAAAUUAAGCCAUAAACGAAAGUUUGACUAAGUUAUAUUAAUUAGGGUUGGUAAAUCUCGGUGCCAGCCACCGGCGGUCAUACGAUUAACCCAAGCUAACAGGAGUUCGGCGGUAAAACGUGGUUAAAGCACCCAUACCCAAAUAGGGUUAAAUUCUAACUAAGCUGGUAAAAAGCCCAUGGAUUAAAAUAAAAAUAAAUGGACGAAAGUGGANCCUACAAUAGCCGACGCACUAUAGCUAAGGANCCAAACUGGGAUUAGAUACCCCANUAUGCUUAGCCCUAAACACAGAUUAUUACAUAAACAAAAUUAUUCGCCAGAGUACUACUAGCAACAGCUUAAAACUCAAAGGACUUGGCGGUGCUUUAUAUCCUUCUAGAGGAGCCUGUUCUAUAAUCGAUAAACCCGAUAACCUCACCAAUUCUUGCUAAUACAGUCUAUAUACCGCCAUCUUCAGCAAACCCU
rnacentral:rRNA from 1 species